UCAGCAUGGAGCAAUGCGAUAAUCAUUGUGCAGCGUGUCUGCAUGCUCUGCGUGUGAACCGCCAGACCCUCGUGAGCUAAGCCCAUUCUCAGACACAGUUGGCUCCUAGAGAAGGGAUAAUUUAUAAUCAUGACAUUUCCAAGGGUUUCUCUCCUUUUUCUCCCCCUUCCCCCUCCCAGUGCUUGCCUUCAUCCCAACUGGUGAAUAUGGGACAGACCAUCCCAGCUUUUCUAGGGAGAGGCUGGUUUUCUUGUUUCUUUGCAGACUGCUGUCUCAUCCUGAAACUGCAUAUUUGAUGUGCUUUUAUAAUGAAUUCAUUUGCACUGUGACAGAUGUUUCUGAUACGAUAAGAAACGUGGCCCAGGGGCCAGUGGCACUGUAGAGCCUCUCAUGUUCCUCACCUGAAUUGCAAAUGAGAUAUUGCUUUCUUAUCUGUUAAAAAACAUAAGCAACUGCACAUAUAAAUAAUACGCCACCAACUGCCAGCUGUUUGUGCCAAUGACAUUCUUCUUAAAAGAAUAGCUCCCCCCAUCAUCUGUUCUUUUCCUUCUUGCAGAAAAUCUGGAGCUCUUUUGCAAGUGUAACAGAAGAGAUCUUUUUUCUCUUUAAGCUGCAGAGCAGUUACUUUAAAAUAAUUAUGUAUGAGCAAAACCAGCUUCCAUAUUUAUGACACAAGUAGUACCUGAUUAUUUCUCUUUUUUUGUACUUCCUUGUCCUUUUUCUGCAUAUCUCUCUGGACACAAAAGAGAAAAUGUCAGUGCUGCUUUCUGUUUCUUGGUGGAUCCUUUUUACAGAGCUCACUGUCUGUCAGUGGUUUCAUGGUUUCAGUUCUGAAUGGUUGAAGGUAAAACCACCUCUGGAAUCCCAGACACAGAAGCAAGCAGGCCUGCUCACUCAGUAACAUUUACUACUAAGUCUUGCAAUCAACAGAACUUAGAAAUACUACCAGGCGUAAGCUGGUUACAGGCUGACAUUGGAAACAAGUUCUCUGGCUGAAGCGUUAUCUUCCCUGCUACAACAGGGUGGGGGCCAUGGGGAGGAGGGAGAAGAAGAAAAGUACCUGUUUAUAAUGGGUUAUCGACCUCAUGUUAUCUCUUCUGCAGUAAAAUCUUAACAGGACAAAGCAUGGUAGUAUUAUUAAGGGCAU